GUGGGGAAUAUUGGACAAUGGGCGCAAGCCUGAUCCAGCCAUGCCGCGUGAGUGAUGAAGGCCUUAGGGUUGUAAAGCUCUUUCACCGGUGAAGAUAAUGACGGUAACCGGAGAAGAAGCCCCGGCUAACUUCGUGCCAGCAGCCGCGGUAAUACGAAGGGGGCUAGCGUUGUUCGGAAUUACUGGGCGUAAAGCGCACGUAGGCUGAUAUUUAAGUCAGGGGUGAAAUCCCGGGGCUCAACCCCGGAACUGCCUUUGAUACUGGGUAUCUUGAGUAUGGAAGAGGUCAGUGGAAUUGCGAGUGUAGAGGUGAAAUUCGUAGAUAUUCGCAGGAACACCAGUGGCGAAGGCGGCUGACUGGUCCAUUACUGACGCUGAGGUGCGAAAGCGUGGGGAGCAAACAGGAUUAGAUACCCUUGUAGUCC
rnacentral:rRNA from 1 species